UUAAAAUCAAAGUGUUUAUUGGAGUGUUGUACAAAAGUUUCCAGUCAAAAUGUAUAUUACAAAUCGAGGGGGGGGGGAAAGACCACACGUUUGUCAUGCAUCUUAAAAGCCCCUAACAGACCCCCUAAAGCGAUCCAUCAUCGGAGCCCCUUGGAAAGCUGGGCGUGUGGUGUCCACACAGGAACGUUCCUGACUCAGUUCUUUAGCGUCAACGGAGCCGCAGCAGUGUUGGGGAGGGUAAAAAUGAGUUGUGGAAGCAGGUGCCAGGGUCACGACCUGGUCGGAUCACAGGUCUGGACUUAGUGUGGACCCAGCGGCCGCCGGACCUCCCCAGGAAGGCCCUGUGAGGCGUAAAGCUAAGCACGACCUCGGGCAGUGCACAUGGUUCCUCAGGCCACAGUCCAGCGUGCAAACCACCACAAGGGCCGAAUGCUUGGUGUCUAGCGACAUCAACCUCCAGCACCAGCCGCCCACCUGGCACCCCACCUUCUCCUCAGCAAGGGCACCCAGUGACCCCAAAAGGGCGACAGGUCGGGGUAGAGGAGGUCGCGUCUGAAGCCAGGCAGGCCAAGCGCUCCAGCAGCCCCACUCGGGCAGUGCAGCCUACCCGACCUUGGUGAGAGGCUGUGGGUGAGGCACGGUUCCCUCCGCCCGGGAAAACAGCCCACACCCCGGGCCUUGGUCACCGUGUGGGACCAGGGACUUCUAACAGCAAGGGUGGCAGCAGGCCCUAGGGCUGCCAGCGGUGACGUCUGUCACUGGCUCCUUCCCUGCCAAGAGCAGCUCCCAAGGAGAGCAUGCCAGACCCUGGGGGACAGGAGAGCCGGGAGGAGCUGCUCAGCCGCCUCCUCGAACAGCAGGCAGCCAUGGCUCAGUGCGGGCGUCGGAAAGACUCCAGCUGCACUUUCUGAAGGAAGUUGGCCAUUCGGGGCACAGAGCUCCCUGGACAGGUCCCUGUCCUUGUGCCACCGCGGGGAGGGUGGCAGGAGCCCUUGGAGCAGCACCCCGUGACCUGCGUACUGACCUAUGUAAAAAAAUAAAUAUCCGUUAAAAAAAUAACUUCUGUGUAUCUGCGUGGCAGGGUAAGUGGUGACUGCAGGAAGGGGUCAUCCGGGCCCAGACUGGGCUGCAAUGUGGAGCCAUCCAGAUGGGGUCACUUGGCGUUUAGGUGUCGGCUGAGAACUGUAACCUCGGAGGAGGUCACAGAGGAAGUGGCGCUCUCGCUAUGCCUACUGUGUACCCAGCAGACAGGGCGGGGCUACAGCCCUCUGACCCAGGGCCGCCCCGUGUCACUCGUCUCUGGGGGUCCCAGACACAAGCCACUUGUCCCUGGCUUUGUCCCCUCCUUGCAUCAUGGUGACAAGGCUUGGAACGGCAAGGUCCCCAUUCCCCAGCUCCCUCCUUUCCUGCCCGUGGGUCCUGCAGGGUCAGGGCAAGAGCUGUGGGAGCAGCUCCAGAAACCGGAGUCACCACAGGUGUCUGGGCCCAGGCCACUCCCCGCUCUUGGUCCCCGGGUGCCACCCAAUCAUGACAGGUCGGUGACCCCAACACCCCCACACCAGGUCGGAACCGGUUUCUGAUUUUAGUUCUGCAACAGCUUUAAAAAGAACAAACCCCACAGCUAUGGAAUCCCCAUACCGCUUCACCCCCAUCCCCAACGGCAGCCCCACCUUCCUGACCUCCAGGUCCUGGCCCCAAACCUCAUAUUCAACCUAGUGGCCAACUUGGGGUGAGGAGGGACCAAAAGCCUGGACAGCAGAGAAGGGGUGACGAAGGGAUGGUCCCGGGACACCACCGGCCACCCACAGGAAAGCGCUG
ensembl:lncRNA